rnacentral:lncRNA from 1 species
UGCCUGUCACAUCAUCAUGUGCAGCAGUGGUGUGCACCGGUGUACCCUGAGUGUGACACUGGAGCAAGCCAUCACUCUAGCAAGAAGCCACGGGCUCCCUCCUAGGUACAUUAUGCAGGCCACAGAUGUGAUGAGAAAGCAGGGUGCAAGAGUUCAGAACACAGCUAAGAACUUGGGGGUUAGAGACCGGACUCCUCAGUCAGCUCCGAGGUUGUAUAAGCUGUGUGAGCCACCACCUCCAGUGGGAGACGAAUAAGCAUUCCCAGGAGCCACGAGACAGAUGCUUCCAAAUGCUGGCCAAGUCAACAUUCUCCCCUGAAGACAAAGAAUUGCAUAUUUAAGAAGCAAAGUUUUCCCAUGGUGAAAAUAACUGAUGUUUGGUUUGGAUAUUUAUACUGGAACUAGAAGUUCCUUAAGACAGUUCAGCCUCACAUUCUAGAUAUAUUAAAAUUACAGAUUCAUAUUAGCAUAAAAUUCACUGCUCAAAUUUGUAGAAAAAUAUACAGAGAUAAAAGAUUUAACUAUUUUGAUUCCUUUCUCAUUCGUUAAUUAUAUUGUAUUUGUUUUUAGCUUCCCCAGUGGGCAGAUAUAAUAUUGGUAGUUUCUCGUGAAGAAGUCUGUCACUAAAAAUGAUUGCCACACUCUGGAAACAGUCAUACAAAAAUGUUAAGAACAGUGUAGAUGGGGAGUUACAGGUGUCCCGUCUCCCACUGGUGCCACCUAGAAGUGCACAUGUGGGAGGUAGGAACAUACACACCUCCCUUUCUUCUAAGGCUUCCUGGUAAUGGAGAAAGCUUUGAGGUCCUGGUAAGACUUUUCUUACUCUUGUCCUAUGUACUCCCUGGCCAUGAAAACACUCCAGCAGGCAGGUGCUUUUCUUGAUCUCUUCAGUGAGCCACGAAUCCUGGGUGAUGUACCAUUGAUGGCUGUGUAUAGGGAGUUGCCAGGUUGGAGAGAUGAGAGGAGCCAAUGAAAAUAGCAAGCCUGUUUGACAACUCAACCCUUAAAAGAGAAAGAUAAACUCGCAAUUGUAUGAAGUCGUCCUAUGAGAUGUCAGACCCUUAAAAUAAUACACCUUCAUGAGUAUUUUUCUAUCAAGUUAUAUAUGUAAGAUGUAAAAAUAAAUUUAUUUGUUGUAUUUCAAAGGGCCAUUAGAAAAAAACCUUGAUAAUUUAUGUAUUCAUUCUAAAGUAUAUGCAAUAUUUAUCACUUCUGUGUUGAUGUACUAACAUUGUUUUGAGCACAUAAAUAUAUUAAUAUUGGUUUUAAAUGUGUAACUUUAAAAAUAAUUAAAACGGCAUUACUGUGAUU